GACAGAGGGUGCAAACGUUGUUCGGAAUUACUGGGCGUAAAGCGCGCGCAGGCGGUUCUACAAGUCAGUGGUGAAAGCCCGGAGCUCAACUCCGGAACUGCCAUUGAAACUGCAGAACUUGAGGAUGAGAGAGGUGAGUGGAAUUCCCAGUGUAGAGGUGAAAUUCGUAGAUAUUGGGAAGAACACCGGUGGCGAAGGCGGCUCACUGGCUCAUUUCUGACGCUCAGGCGCGACAGCGUGGGGAUCAAACAGG
rnacentral:rRNA from 1 species